ACGGAAGAAUUGAAUAAAGAUCAGCAACUCCCAUGGGUAAUCUUUCGCCCCUUGAACGGAAGACAUCCCACUCGAUCCGUACUAACCGUUUCUUAUAAUACCACUCGUAAGUCACGCCCACUUUCUCUCUUUCGGCCAAUGGGAGAGCAGUGAUAAGACAGCGAGGUCCGUGAUUGGUUCCUGGGGGUUUGGUUUUCAAGUGGUGGUGGUGGUGGUGGUAGUGGUGGUGGUGGUGGUGUUUGCGGAGUGGUGGUGAGUUAGUGCAGUGUGGUGAGGUGGAAGGGACUGGACGUUAGCUCUCUCUCUCUCUCUCGCUCUCUUUCUUUCUCUCUCUCUAUCUCUAUUUUCUUUUCCCUUAUUCUUCCUUUUAUAAUCUCUAACUCGACCUGUAUUUCUAGUUAUCUCUGUUUAUCUAUUUUCCCUUUCCAUCUCUUUCCUUCAUUUUCCUUCCUAUCCUUUCCUCUCCUUUCCUUUCCUCUCCUUUCCUUUCCUUUUCUUUCCUUUCUUUUCUCUCCUUUCCUUUCCUUUCCUCUCCUUUCUUUUCCUUUCUCUUCCUUUCCUUCCCUUUCCUCACCACCUCUCUCAUUCUCUCCCCUCCUCUUCCUCUUCCUCCUCCUCCUCCUCCUCCCACACCACACCUGGGCAUCAAUACAUCAACUCACAGUUUUGAGACGGAGCGGAAGAGGAAGAGGAAGAAUGAGAAGAAGAGGAGGAGAAAAAGAAAGGAAGAAGAAGAAAAUGUAGAAGAAAAUGUCUAUUCCAUCAUCUUCCACCUCCUCCACCAUCUACACAAGGCCCCUCUCCAUCCACAUCAACCUUCCACAACCUGCCAUCCACCUAGGCCUACUCCAGCCUAGCAACACCAUCCACUUACUAACCCUGUCAUCCACCUGCUCCACCUCUUAACAAUCCACCUCAACCACCCGUUCCACCUUCCACUAUCCACCUCAAGACUCCAUCCACCGUUUACUCUGUCGUUUGAAGAGUGGUGAUGAUGGUGUUGAUGGUGGUGGUGGUAGUGGUGGUGAUGGUGGUGGUGGUGGUGGUGAAGACAAAGAAGAAAAAGGAGAAAAUAUUUGAAGGAAAAUAGAAGAAAUAAUAAGAAAAAAGAAAAUAUUGGAAAGGGAGAGAAGAAAAAGAAGAAAAAGAAGAAAAUAUGGAAGGGAACAAGAGAGGAAGGAAAAGACAAAGAAGAAAAAGA